CAAUAGCGUAUAUUAAAGCUGUUGCGGUUAAAAAGCUCGUAGUUGGAUUUCUGUCAAGGACAACUGGUCCGCCCUCCGGGUGAGCACAUAGUUUGGUCUUGACAUCUUGCUGGAAGCUGUUGCUGCACUUGGCUGUGUGGCGCAGUGUUCAGCACUUUCACUUUGAGGAAAUUGGAGUGUUUCAAGCAGGCACAUGCCUUUGGACACAGUAGUAUGGAAUAAUUAGAUUGGGCUUUUGCUCCAAUUUGUCGGUUUCUGGAGCUGAGGUGAGUAUUAAUGGGGAUUGUUGGGGGCAUCCGAAUUUAGCCGUCAGAGGUGAAAUUCUUGGAUCUGCUAAAGACGGACAACUGCGAAAGCGUUUGCCCAGGAUGUUUUCAUUG
rnacentral:rRNA from 1 species